UACGUAGGUGGCAAGCGUUGUCCGGAUUUAUUGGGCGUAAAGCGAGCGCAGGCGGUUAGAUAAGUCUGAAGUUAAAGGCUGUGGCUUAACCAUAGUAUGCUUUGGAGACUGUUUAACUUGAGUGCAGAAGGGGAGAGUGGAAUUCCAUGUGUAGCGGUGAAACGCGUAGAUAUAUGGAGGAACACCGGUGGCGAAAGCGGCUCUCUGGUCUGUAACUGACGCUGAGGCUCGAAAGCGUGGGGAGCAAACAGGAUUAGAUACCCUGGUAGUCCACGCCGUAAACGAUGAGUGCUAGGUGUUAGGCCCUUUCCGGGGCUUAGUGCCGCAGCUAACGCAUUAAGCACUCCGCCUGGGGAGUACGACCGCAAGGUUGAAACUC
rnacentral:rRNA from 1 species